rnacentral:rRNA from 1 species
AUUGAACGCUGGCGGCAGGCCUAACACAUGCAAGUCGAACGAGUGGCGGACGGGUGAGUAAUGUCUGGGAAACUGCCUGAUGGCUGGGGAUAACUACUGGAAACGGUAGCUAAUCCCGCAUACCAUCAGAUCUGCCCUGAUGGGUUUAGCUUGUUGGUGGGGUAACGGCUCACCAAGGCGACGAUCCCUAGCUGGUCUGCGAGGAUGACCAGCCAAACUUGAACUGAGACACGGUCCAGCCUCGUACGGGAGGCAGAAGUGGGGAAUAUUGCACAAGGGGCGCAAGCCUGAUGCAGCCAUGCCGCGUGUAUGAAGAAGGCCUUCGGGUUGUAAAGUACUUUCAGCGGGGAGGCGUUAAACGAAGAAGAAGCACAGGCUAACUCCGUGCCAGCAGAGGCGGUAAUAG